UCCCCUUUCGAACUGGUUUCCAAUCCCGCCGCCAAGGGCGAGGCUUCGGAGCCUCUACGACGACAUAGACGGCUCCCCCGGAGACGACUCCCGCUUCCGCCGCAGCGACGGCCGCAAAUGGCACUGCACAAGGGCGCCAUGGAGUACAACUACAUCCAGAACAGGACAACAUCGAAAAGAACAAGGCCUCAGCCCGGAAAUCCAACCGAAGUGUUGCGGCGCCUCCGUCGAGGAAGCGCGCUAAGCAGGCGGAACGCUCGGCGGAGUCAAUUGCCCUCGAGCGGCGGGUGAAGCGGGAGGAGGAGAGUGGGGAGGGGGAGGCCGGGACCACGAGAGUUCCUCCCAGUGGAUUGAUGACCAUCGCGACAGAGCCUCCCGUUGGCGGCUGUCGUGACGAGGGCAGGGCGGCUCAGUAGAUCGGAAGGUAGGGUUUGAGGAGGGCCGCUUGUUCACCAGGCGGUGUAUUCGGUCCAAGAUCGCGGAGCCGAUUCCCGUUGCGGCAAUAAAGAAAAUACCUGGUGUAAGGGGUUCGGUAAUGGGAGGGAAGAGGGUCGCCACAGUUGUAAGGAGAAGAACGUUGUGAACAUGGUCCGGUGUUUGAGCUGUAGGAAGAGGUUCUUUUGCUCUUGUUGCAUAGAGAAAAGCAAAAGUUCUUCUUUGAUAACAUUUUAUAUGGGCAUAGUAGUUCAAUGAGCUUUAAAUCUGAGGAAAUAUUGGUGGGAACACCCUUUCCUUUUUGUUUCCUAAUCCAAUUCAAUAUAAGAAAAUGGAAGACUUCAGGAUGAUCUGGCACAACACUCUUCAGCUACAAGCAAAACG